UGGUCACAGAGGGGAUCGAAGCAGGGUAGUGGGUUAGGAUUCACACCGGUUAGGGUUUUGAGUCAGCUAUGGGAAGGGGGAGGUUUGAGAACUGGCCUCUGGGGCCACCGUGAGGGAAAGGCUCACUUUGGCUAACAAUGCUGAGGCGGGCAGGGCAGAGCAGUCCCAAGGUGUGUUGUCACUUGUCUGUCGUGCUUUCUGUGUCUUCCGUUCAUCUCGUGUAAUAUGUCUCUUGCCUUAGUCCUCCCAGGAGCUUAUGAGAAACCCCAGGUCCUUCCGGUCAUCUCCCAUCUUUCGUUCCUCGGCCCGGGGCCGACGCCGGCGAAGUUUCGAUUCGGGAGGUCAGACAGGCGUCAGAAUCGCAUCUCUAUUCAGAAGCAUCCGAUCGGAUGUCUUCUUAGGUCUUGUUCUCAGCUGUGUUGACAGCUGUGUGCAGUCAUCUUUCUUUACAGUGGAUAAGGACUUGUGCCGAUUCAAAGGCAGGCAGAGGCUUCCAGCCACAGGAUUCUCAGGCAUCCGUCUCCGCGGUUCUCGGAAUAAGUCGUUCCGUUAGCAUCUUUUUCCUCCGGGGUCAUCCGAGCCCGGCGGGCUCGCCUUCGGUCCCCCCUCGGUCAUCUCGUUCGGCAUUCUCUCGGUCCUUGUGAGGACUUUCUCGUCUCAGAGAGUUUUCUCUCCCUGUCGUGUCCCCUCGUCUCACGUGUCACGGGUGUCUGGGGGUAUUCGGUCCGGAACUGCUCUGCCCUGCCGCCCGGCCCCGUUGCAGGUGUUCAAGGACAAGUCCUGGGCACUUGUAGUGGAGAUUCGUAAUACGGGCUGUAGUUGGAGUCUAGGUAGUAUUCUUAUGUUGGCAGAAGGUGUCUGGAGCUGUGAAGUUACCCUGCAGCACUUUGACUUUUUUCCUAACUUUCUUUCAGAUGCGGAUGGAUCGACCUCCCGGCAGAGCGCCCCGUCCCAGAUGAGGGGAUCCCCCUGAGAAGGUCGGUCACGGUUUUUCUUUGCAGCGGGGCUGGAACCGGUCACUGUGUUACAGCUCUGCUCUUUGUCUUUAUUUUUAGGAAGUAAAGCCGGAUAGCAGCAGCGAAGGCGAAGCAGGUAGAAGGUGGUCUACUUGCAAGAUAUCCCAGCCCAGGAUGCCAGAGGACAGGUUCCGUGCAGAGAGGCAGAGCCGAAGUUUGCGAUCGGCCGCACCGAAGCCGGCGCGGGGGACGUCUCGACGUACGCAUCCUAUCGAGGAUGGGUCUUGUCCUAUUACGUUACAAAAGGUCUCUGAUGCCUAUUUUCUGAGGAUCUACCAUUUGAUGUUGAGAAGCAGCAGCGAGAAGAUGUCUCGGG